rnacentral:rRNA from 1 species
CCUACGGGGGGCAGCAGUGGGGAAUAUUGGACAAUGGGGGCAACCCUGAUCCAGCCAUGCCGCGUGUGUGAAGAAGGCCCUCGGGUUGUAAAGCACUUUCAGUGAGGAAGAACGCCUGGUGGUUAAUACCCAUCAGGAAAGACAUCACUCACAGAAGAAGCACCGGCUAACUCCGUGCCAGCAGCCGCGGUAAUACGGAGGGUGCGAGCGUUAAUCGGAAUUACUGGGCGUAAAGCGCGCGUAGGUGGUUUGAUAAGCCGGUUGUGAAAGCCCCGGGCUCAACCUGGGAACGGCAUCCGGAACUGUCAAGCUAGGGUGCAGGAGAGGAAGGUAGAAUUCCCGGUGUAGCGGUGAAAUGCGUAGAGAUCGGGAGGAAUACCAGUGGCGAAGGCGGCCUUCUGGACUGACACUGACACUGAGGUGCGAAAGCGUGGGUAGCAAACAGGAUUAGAUACCCGAGUAGUC